GAAUCAAUUUGUUGGUCGUGCCUCGGUACGUACUGGCAUUAUUGGUUUCUCCCUUCUGAAGAACCAUGAUGUCAUUAAUUUGGUGUCUUGGGAAAUCAGGACUGUUACUUUGAAAAAAUUAGAGUGUUUAAAGCAAGCUAACGCUUGAAUACAUUAGCAUGGAAUAAUGAAAUAGGACGUUUGAUUCUAUUUCGUUGGUUUCUAGGAUCGACGUA
rnacentral:rRNA from 1 species